GAUGAACGCUGGCGGCGUGCCUAAUACAUGCAAGUCGAGCGAACGGACGAGAAGCUUUCUUCUCUGAUGUUAGCGGCGGACGGGUGAGUAACACGGGGAUGACCUACCUAUAAGACUGGGGUAACUUCGGGAAACCGGGGCUAAUGCCGGAUAAUAUUUUGAACCGGAUGGUUCAAAAGUGAAAUACGGUCUUGCUGUGACUUAUAGAUGGAUCCGCCCUGCAUUAGCUAGUUGGUAAGGUAACGGCUUACCAAGGCAACGAUGGAGAGCCGACCUGAGAGGGUCGUCCCACACCCUGUCUGUGAGACUCGGUCCCCACUCUUGCGCGAGGACACAGCCCGGACUCCUACGGAAUGCAGCAGUGGGUAAUGGAGCACAGUCGCGUGAGUCCUGAUGGUCUUCGGCCCCUAGAACUCUGUUAUUCGGGAAGUUGAAAUGCGUAAGUACCUGUGAACAUAUUGACGGUACCUAAUGAGAAAGCCCCGGCUAACUCCGUG
rnacentral:rRNA from 1 species